GAUCACAUUCCAUACACAUGUGGAUAGUAGAGUUUCCAUCCGGUGAAGAUUGAUGAUAUCACCAUGUAGGGACCGGCGUUGCUCCACAUUCAUCUCCACGUGGCUAGUUUGAUCUUUGAAGGCUACUACUUUGAUCAUGCCUCGAGGAAGAGCACCUGCACCUAGAGCAAGGGUUGAAGAUGAGGACCAAGAUCCUCUAUUUCCCAAAACUCCACAG